rnacentral:tRNA from 1 species
ACCUAAAGGCAGCCUAGUGGACAUGGCAUCUGCCCGGUAAGCGGAACACUGUGGGUUCGAUUCCCAUCCCUGGACA